CCUACCUUUAUUAUUGUUGAUAUUGCACGGAUUUUUUGACCGACUUUCCAGACUUUCCAGUCUAGCCGUGACGUCACGCGUCGUAUCCCGUGCGCUCCCCUGAGCGCGUGGUCCUGGUCGCGAGCACAUGGAAGUGAGGUCGAGAUUUGUGUCUGUGAGACGCGCGACUGAUCAUCAGAAAAAAAGGAAUAUAAAAGCGAUAAAACGGCAACAAAUACUAAAGUUGAAGCGGCUGGGUGGUUGUUGCAGACCCUCCUGCAGUCCCACGUCUUACUGCAGCUGUCGUGCUUAUAGACUACUGAAGAUACUGAUCUGAAUGGGAAGGAUGCAAAGGUGGAAGCAGUCAGUGAUGGAUUUGGUUUCACUCUCUCAAUGGAACACACACACACAUACUGACAUACUGCAUGGUUUUUAAUACUACCUACUUCCCCCUUUCUUUGAGAGGACACAGAUACACCCUGCAUGGGCCCCCGUGGUGAUCUACAUUGUGGUUGGGAAGUACCUAGUUUUACAACUGCCAUGCUGGUCUGCUUGAAGGGACAAUGCUGAUCACUUUCAUGUCCACUACGUUCAGCACUUUUCACUUACCUGUAUUGUUUGAUGUUGUCACAGUAAUAGCGAGUGAGCAAUUUGUCUGUGCAGAGUUUCUGUAUUACACACUGCCGUUGGAGAAGUCUACUCAAAUGUUCUCAUCUUGAUGAAUCUGUUAUUGCUGGGAUCAUGAGAGUACUGAGCCAGAAUACAGAAUGUGUGAUAUAGUGAAAAUGAAGUCUAACCACAAUGAGGUGAAAGAGUUUUUGCAAUAGUUAAUUAAAAGAAAACCACAUUUCUGUCUUCCACAUAUGUCUUUUCUGUCACUUUACACUGUUGUAUGUUUGUGAAAAAGCUGCACACUGAAUAAAUCUUUCACGCUGGCAGAUGUUUACUAAACGUGUGUUUUUCU
rnacentral:lncRNA from 1 species